AUGAGCCGCACCUGUCACAGCUGCGUCCCAUCAAUUAAGAGAGAUACCUUUGCUCAUUAUUGCUCAUACUUGAAAUCUUACCGAACAGAGAGUUAUCGUAUUCUUCAGUCGAAAUGGCGUCUCCUAAGUUCAUCAUGCUCUUCAUGCUUGUGGUCAUGGCUGGAAGUUUGUGCGAAGGUAUCAAACUAUGCGCCGAGAGAUGGGGCGAUGCCUGUGUUAACGGCCACAAAUCCUACGAUUGCUGUGACUUGAAGAAGUUCGCCUGCAGGGAAAACCAUCUCCACAGGUGGGAGUGCAAGACGAGGCUGUUCGGGCGAUAAGAGUGCUGAAUAAUCCAACAUUCCCACAUUCUAAUAUUUCCAAAUUCCCGAAACUCCAGAUUCCAAAUUUCAAAAUUCUAAAAAAUCUAAAUUUCCACAUGCCCACUACUAUUUUCUGAACAGAAAUAAACGAAAUAUUCGAUUGUAAUCUUUU